rnacentral:lncRNA from 1 species
UUUACUUUUCAAUAUUUUAUUAUUGAAAGAUAUUCGGUUUUGAAUUCGGAGCUUAGCUUAAUUGGUUCAUGUUCUUAAUUUUAGAAGAUGACAUUCAAAUCUGAAAUGUCCUAAACUAACAAAUUAACGUUGUUGUGUAGGUGAUAAUACUUGCAGGAACUGAUACAUCAGCAGUCACAAUAGAGUGGGCAAUGUCCAAUUUGCUAAAUCACCCAGAAUUAUUGAAGAAGGCUAGAGCUGAACUAGACAAUCAAAUUGGUCAAGAAAACCUGAUUGAUGAACAAGAUGUUUCCAAGCUACAUUACCUUCAAAGCAUUAUAUUGGAGACACUUCGAUUAUACCCUGCAGCUCCUCUUCUGCUUCCACACAUGCCAUCUAGCGAUUGUACCUUAGGUGGAUACAACGUGCCACGUGGUGCGAUCGUAUUGGUGAAUGCAUGGGCCAUUCAUAGGGAUCCAAAACUAUGGGAUGAUCCAACAAGUUUUAAGCCAGAGAGAUUUGAAAAUGGUGAGAAAUUAGGAGAAUAUUCUCACAAGCUAAUGCCAUUUGGGUUAGGAAGGAGGGCAUGUCCAGGAGCAGGCCUGGCUCAGCGAAUGGUGGGAUUAGCUUUAGGAUCUUUGAUUCAAUGCUUUGAGUGGGAAAGGAUUGAUGGCAAGGAAAUUGACAUGACUGAAGGAAAGGGAACCACCAUGCCUAAAGUUCAGCCAUUAGUUGCCAUGUGCAAAGCCCGUCCCAUCGUGAAUAAUGUUUUUUAUAAACAAAUUUGAUUAAAACUGUUUCAUUAUUUAUCAUAAGUUGGGUGAUUAUAUUACAAAAGUAGCUUUGAUUACCUAUCUAGUAAAGAUUUUAUUGUAGUAAUAUACAGUUAGUGUGUUCUAUUUUUUUCUCUCUCUCUUUUUUUGGUAUGAUUGGAUUAGUCCAAAUAAAAAAAAGUAGGUCAAAUUAUGUAACCAAUAUUUGUAUUUUAAUUAAAUGAUAAAAUUAAUCCUUCUAUUUUAAUAUGUUUAAAUUGGAUCUUUAUACUUCCUUUAAUUAUCGAAUUUAAUAAAAUUAUUAACGGUUCAAAUAUUUUUCAUUAAAAUUGAUGACUUAAUAUUUUGACUUUUUUAAGGUAGCAUUUUUUUUACGUAACUGUUGACUAUAUUGAUGUUUAAGGUCCACAUGAUCAAAGAUAAUAACAUGGCAAAUUUUUUUUAUUUAUCAUCACUUUUUCACGUCAACUUUUUCAAAUUGCACAGACCGUCUUUAUACUUUCGAUUAAAUAAUAGAAUUAAUCUUUUUAUCUUAAUGUGUAUUAUAAUUUUGAUCCUUAUAUAUUAAUUAAUUAUUGAAUUUAGAAUUUGAUACUCAUUGCAUUCAAAUUUUAUUUUUAAAUUAUUCAUAAUCAAUGUUUUACUAAAUGGAACACUGAUAAUAGAAAAUCUAACCUCAACUUGAUUCUAAUGAAUUUUGAAACUUCAAAGACAUAAUUGAAAGAGCUCAGAACUCAAAAACAGAUCUUUUAAUGAAAACAUGAAAAUCUUACUUAGAAUAAGACUAGCCAAAAGCUCCCUAAAUAAGUUAAGAGACUUAACAAAGUCUUGGUGAAAGACAACACAUAAGAGGACCCCAUGCUCGACUAAAACAAACCAUUCGAUGCAUUGAGAGCCCUCUAAGCUAAUCUAGCCUCCCAAAUGAACUCUAAGUUUUUUACCUCCUAGGAUGUCAACAUCCUUGAAAGUGACUUUUUUUUCGGAACAACUUAACUUAGAAAUCUCAAUUUAUGACACCUUUUGAGAAUAAAGAGGGUUAAAGGAUUCAAUUUUAAGCUUUUUUUUUUUUUUUUUUAUGGUUGUCUAUUAUUAUAAUAUACACCAACAUUGGAGUUUUUUAAAUUCUAUAAAAGGAAUCCUCUUAUUUAUUUAUUAAUUUUUUAAGAGAUAUUAUCAAAUAUAUUAAAACAAUAAAAUUUUUUAAUUUUACAAAUAAAAUAUAUUUUAUUAUAUAUUUUUAAAAAUUAAAAAAUUAAUUUUAAAAAAACUGAAACAUAUAUCAUUAUAUUAACUUCACUUAUAAAAUUAAAAAAUUUCAUUAAUAAUAUAUCAAAUAAUUUUUAAAAAUAUAAUUUAAUAGAGAAUGUAUCUAUCAUAACGUUUAGAUCCGGAGACCUAUCACUAGACAUUGACUUGAAGAGUCACCACAAUCUUUUUUGUUUAUGUGCGAUUGGCCACCUGACUGAAUCUGUCCUUUUUUAGAAAGAAAUCCUAAGUUUGACUUAGGUAUCUUUGCAAGGUAGAUUCAAUAUCCACGAAACCAGAACUAGAUCAAGGAAUGUGGUUACGUGUGAGGAAAGUUAUAGCACUCUCACAACGCCUAUCAAAAGAUGGUACCAGCUUGAUUUCAUUUUAUCCAUUAGCCUUAAAAAUUUUACUAAGUAAUUAAUUAUUGAAAAUUAUUCUUAAUUGACUCCAAUACUUUUGGCAAAAAAUUAAGAAAAUCUCAUCACCUCAAAAGUAUACAAGAAAAUUAUUUUUUUUUUACAGAGGCUCCAUCGUCGGAUUAUUUAUCAUUAAAAAUUUUCAAAGAAAGAAAAGGAAAAGAAUAAUGAUUCGAACUCUUGAUAUAGAUCUUUUGUAGUUUUAUAAGAAACAACUCAUGUUUUUAUACAAGGAAAAUUGAUACUUUAACUUUUCCUUAAAGCAUUUUAAAGUUUUUUAUUUUUAAAGAAAAAUUGAUACUUUCAACUUUUCCUUAAAAAUCCCUUUUUGAAAUCUUUAUUUUUUAAUUUUAAGAAAAAUUGAUACUUUCAACUUUUCCUCAAAAGAUGUUUUCUUGAAAAUUUUAAUUUCAAGGAAAAUUGGUACUUUCAACUUUUCCUCAAAAAUGCUUUUUGAAAAAUUUUAUUUUUAGGAAAAUGUAUACUUUCAACUUUUCCUCAAAAUAUGUUUUCUUGAAAAUUUUAUUUUCAAGGAAAAUUGAUGCUUUCAACUUUUUCCAAAAAAAAAAAUGUUUUCUUGAAAAUUUUAUUUUUAAGAAAAAUUGGUACUUUCAACUUUUUCCUCAAAAAUGUUUUUUUGAAAAAUUUAUUUUCAAGGAAAAUUGGUACUUCCAACUUUUUCCUCAAAAAUGUUUUUUUGAAAAUUUUAUUUUCAAGGAAAAUUGAUACUUUCAAUUUUUUUCUCAAAAAUAUUUGAUUUUAAAAUUUUUAUUUUAAAAAAAAUUGAUACUUCCAACUUUUUCUCAAAAAUAUUUGAUUUUAAGUAAUCAUUGAAAAUUAAAGAAUGUUUAAUUAAAUAAAUUAUUUCAAUUUAAUAAAAAAAACACAUAAGCAAAAAAAAUAGUAAAUAAAUAAAUAAUAACGAUAAUAAAUGAAAAAAAAACUUGGCUCGGCUUCGGCUAGGCUUGGACAGUAUACAGCUCUAGAGACAGACUCAGCUUGAGCGGCUCAGUGCACGACUCGGCUCACUCAACUCAACAGGGGCUGGGUGAUACGGGUAGGCGGGUCGAAGCGCUACGAGUCAGGUUAGACUGUAAGGAAACGCGCGGAUCCUAUCGGGUUCUUAGCUCAAAAUGACGUGAUUUUUGGACUAUAUAAAAGGCAAAAAAAAAAUCUUCUGGUCUUCAGACGCUCCUUCCCUUUUCUCUCUCUUCUCUUCUGUUUCUCACUUUAUGUGAUUUUUUAUUGUCGUCUUUCGUUGAAUGCCAUCGAAAAAAUAAUCGAUUUUUGGGUUUUAUCAUCAAAAACUGAGUUUUUCAUCGAAACUUGCCGAAAAACUUGAAUACUCGUCGAAAAAUUCGUCAAAUUUUGAAAAUUUCCUAAAAAAUUCCAGAAACUUGAGAAAAGCUAAAAAAAACAAAUUAAAAACCACAAAUUCCCCAAGAAAUCUUUUGAAACAAAAAAUUUCCUCGGAUCACUCCUAUUUUCCCCUCCUUUCUUUUUUGUGUUCUUACUCUUGUGAUUGAUGGGGUUUAUAUGGGGUUGGGUACACGGUUGAAUAGGAUUUCAAAAUCAAACUUUCCCCCUCAUCCAAUCUGUUUAUCCCCAUUCAAAAACCAAAUCCUUGAUCCUGUUUUUAAAAAUUAAAGUCUUAAUCUUAGAGUUUUACUAUGACUAAAAUUUUACUUUUAUUUAUUUAUUAUUUUAAAUAUAUUAAACUUAUCUGAAAAGUGGGUGUUUAUAGUUGCCCCUUUUUGCAUAUUUUUUAUGAAAUAGAGAUUAUGCAAAGACAUAAACACCUAUCAUGACUUUGUUUAAGAAAGAAAAUACUUUGGUGUAACUGAAUCAAGUCAAAAAAUGGAAUAACUCUAAGAAAGAUCUAGCAUAAGCUAAAAUCCAAAACACAAUAACUUAGAUUGAACUGAAGUCUAAAAUAAAUAGCUUGGACUAAGCUAAAAAAGGAUCUAACAUAGGCUAAAAUCCAAAAGCAAAAUGACUUGGAUUGAACUGAAGUCUGAAACGCAAGCUAAAAAAGGAUCCAACAUAAGUCAAAAUCCACAACGAAAUGAUCGAGACUGAAUCAAAGUCUAGAAUGAAUGGCCUGGACUAAACCAAAAAAAGAUCUGGUAUAGGUCAAAAUCCAAAAACAGAAUGACUUGGAUUGAAUCGAAUUCUAAAACGAAUGACUUAGACUGAGUCGAAGAAAGAUCUGGCAUAGGCUGAAAUCUAAAAAUAAAAUGAUCUGGAUUGAACCAAGAUUUGAAACGAAUGACUUGGACUGAGUCGAAGAGGAUCUAGUAUAGGCCAAAAUCUAAAUAAAUAAAUAAAUAAAAUGACCUAGAUUGAACCGAAGUCUGAAACGAAUGACUUAGACUUAGCCGAAUAAAAAUUUGAUAUAAGUCAAAAUCUAAAAAUAGAAUGACCUGGAUUGAAUCGAAGUCUGAAAUGAAUAACUUAGGCUAAGCUGAAGAAGGAUCUGGCAUAUAUCGAAUUCAAAAAUCGGAUGAUCUGAAUUGAACCGAAAUCUUAAACGAAUGACUUAGACUAAGAAUGAUUUGAAAAAAGUCAAAAUUUGAAACAGAAAGACUUGGACUGAAUCGAAACCUGAAAUGAAUAACUUAGACUAAGAAGGAUUUGACAAAAGUCAGAAUCCAAAACUGAAAGACUUGGACUGAACCGAAGCCUGAAAUGAAUAAUCUGGACUAAAUCAUAAUACGUUAGUGCAGGUUGUAUUUGAAACAACUGCCGCUUCAUUCUUGGCAACUUUAAUCAUCUGUGGGGUCUGAAUACCUUCUUCUAAAAGCAAAUGACAUGCGUACCUAAAGUGUUAUGAAAUGCCAAUUUUCUUGGAAUGCCUACAUGAAAUGUUAUGAGACAUUAGGCUUAUCUAAUUAUGAUAAAAAGAUUCUAAAGCUCUUUGUCGUUUUCAUUUUCGCUUCAGUGAUGGAUCCUUUAACUUCUAAAGAUAUUUGGUUAAGGAAUCAAAUUAUCAUUAUCUUUUAGCUUCAACCAAACCGAGAUCACCAUUUCACUAAGUUUCCAUUGUUCUCAUUUCACUUACCUAUGCCACUCUUGGCUUUCCAAAGUAAUAAAGAGAAUUUUCAUAUCAUUAUUUGUUCAUUCAUUAUCAUUUCAAUAUAAUGACAGAUGUAAAGCAAAUGCACAUUUCUUUUUACCUGGGUAAAAGGGUAAACAAAAAAAAAUAAUAAAAGAGGUUAAUGUUGACGUCAAAAAAGAAAUGGAUUUUAUUGAUUGAAUGGGACUGAGUUACAAAGGUGGGCUAAAGUGGGCUGUCACAUAAUCAUGAUCAAAGUAACCUAGAGUUUUCUUCCCAAAAUCAUCCACCUAGAAUUCUUGAUCUUGUCGAGUUCAUCAAAUCACACUUGCUCCUUGUGCCAUGAAACUAAUAUCUUAAACCUCUAACUGCCUUUUUGGGCCUUCAACUUAAAUAUCCUCAAACUACUUUUUGUGGGGUUUUUAAUUCGAGCCUUCCCUUUUUUGGAACUCUAACCGCCCUUUACGAGUUUUCAAUUUGAGCUCUUUUUUCUUUUCUCUUUUUUGCUUUUUGUUUUUUGUUUUUUGUUUUUUAUUUUUAUUUUUUUAUUUUUUGUUUUAAACUCAAACUGCCCUUUACGGGUUUUCAAUUUGAGCAUUUUUUUUCUUUUUUUUUUUAACUCAAAUUGCCCUUUACGAGUUUUCAAUUUGAGCAUUUUUUUUGUUAAGAAAAAUACUUCUUCACAGCAUCUGAAUUUAUUGGAUUGGGCAAAUCUUCUCCAUUUAUUUCUAUCAAGAUUAAAGCUCCUUCUGAGAAUGCCUUCUUGACAAUAUACGAACCUUUCCAAUUUGGAGUUCAUUUUUCUCUAUUGUCAUAUUGACUUGGGAGAAUCCUUUUCAAAACCAACUCCCCUUCAUGAAAACAUCGAGAUCGAAUUUUCUAUCAUAUGCCUGCAUCAUUCUCUUUUGGUACAACUACCCAUGACAUAGCGUUGUCAAUCUUUUUUUCUCAAUAAAAUUCAAUUGCUUGUAACAUUCCUAAAUCAAUUCAGCUUAUUCUAAAUCAACUUCCCUUAAAAUUCUCAAAGAGGAAAUUUUUACUUCUACAGGUAGCACUGCUUUCAUUUCAUAGACCAAAAAAAUGGGGUUGUCCUAGUAGAAGUAUGUACUGAUAUUCGAUAAGCGUGCAAAGCAAAAGAUUACUUCUCAUGCCAAUCUUUAUAGGUCUCAGUCAUUUUUUCAAGAAUCUUUUUAAUAUUCUUGUUUGCUGCUUCACUACUCCAUUCAUUUUUAGAUGGUAAAGUGUCGAGUUGUGAUGCUUGAUCUUAAAUUGGGCACAUAUCUCUUUCAUCAUCUUACUAUUAAGAUUUUUGGUAUUAUCUGAGAUAAUUCUUUUUGGGAACCUAUAUCUACAUAUUACCUCUGUCUUAAUGAACUUACACACCAUCGAUCGGGUCACACUAGCAUAUGAUGCAGCUUCAACCCAUUUUGUGAAAUAAUCAAUCAUUACAAAAAUGAACCUAUGUCCAUUUGAAGCAUUCGGUGCGAUGGGUCCGAUAACAUCCAUACCCCACAUUGAAAAUGGCCAUAGAGGCACUAUGACAUGUAAAGCAUUUGAAGGGGCAUGUAUUUUAUUUGCGUAGAUUUGACACUUAUGACAUUUUUUAGCAUAAUCUAUACAGUCACUUUUCAUGGUCGACCAGUAAUACCUUACCCUCAUAAUUUGUCUUGCCAUUAUGUGACCACUUACAUGAGCUUUACAACUCCCAUCAUGAACUUCUUUUAUGAUCUUUUGUACCUCUGUUGCAUUCACACAUCUUAAGAGAACUAGAUCUCGAUUCUUCUUAUACAAGAUAUUUUCGUCAAAGAAGAAACCCAUGACUACUUUCUUAAUAAUCCUCUUGUCAUUUUCAGAAGCAUGCUCUAGGUAUUGUUGAUUCUUUAUAUACUAUAAAAUGUCAUAAUACCAAGGCUUCCUAUCAACCUCCUCUUCAACAUUUGAAUAAUGUGCUGGAAAUUCUCUCACAUCAAGCUUUAUGGACUGAAUUUUAAUAUUUGUCUUCACUUUGAUCAUAACUACUAAUGUGGCUAGGGCAUCAGCAAUUUAAUUAUCUUCUCUAGGUAGAUGUUCAAAUUGAAUCUUCUCAAAUUGUUUAACCAAAACAGCGACAUACUUGUGAUAUUUUAUUAGCUUUGCAUCUUUUGUCUCACAUUCUCAUUUUAACUGGUAAAUAACCAAGGUUGAGUCUCCAUAGACUUCUAAUACUUUGAUUUUUCUUUCAAUUGUAGCUUGUAAGCCCAUAACACAGGCUUCGUGUUCAACUAUAUUAUUAGUGCAAUUGAAGUUCAACCUUAUUGUGAUAGGGAUAUAAUUCCCUUCUAGAGAUAUCAAGAUUGCCCUAAUUUCAUGUCCUAAAGCAUUUACAACUUCAUUAAAAUACAUCUUCUAGGACUGCUCAGUAGACUCUUCCUUAUCAACUUAGGAAACGACCAUCAGGUCUUUAUCCGAAAAAUCAAGCCUUAUUGGCUCAUAAUCAUUAGCUGUAUGUUCUGCUAGAAAUUCAGCUAUGGCACUUCCUUUAAUUACUUUUUGAGUUAUAUAGACGAUAUCAUAUUCGAAAAGCAUUACCUACCAUCGAGCAAUUCUUUCAAAUAGUGAAGAAUUUUUUAAAAUAUAUUUGAGAGGAUCCAAUUUUGCUAUGAGCCAUACGAUAUGGUAUAGCAUAUAUUGCCUAAGCCUACGAGUCAUCCAAGCUAAGGCACAAUACAUCUUUUCCAAUAAGGAAUACUUUAACUCAUAGUCAAUAAAUUUCUUACUUAAAUAGUAGAUGGCUCACUCUUUCCUGCUUGUUUCAUCUUGUUAUCCUAGCAUGCAUCCCAUUGAGCUUUCGUUCACAGUUAAAUAAAGAAUCAAUGAUUUUUCUAGAAUAAGUGGUACUAGUAUAGGUGGAUUUGACAGGUACUCUUUGACAUUAUCGAAAGCUUUCUAACAUUCAUCAUCUCAUUUACCUGAGCUAUGUUUACGAAGGAGUUUGAAAAUAGGAUCACAUUUAAGAGUGAGCUGAGAAAUGAAUUGAAAUAUAUAAUUCAACCUUCCCAAAAAACCUCAUACCUCUUUUGGUGUGCAUGGAGGUGACAAGUUUUGGAUGGCUCGGAUCUUGUCAGGAUCUACCUUUAUUCCUCUUUCACUGACUACAAAACCCAAUAGCUUCCCUGACUUAGCCCCAAAUAUGCAUUUUGAUGGGUUUAAUUUCAGCUAAAAUCUUCUCAACCUCUUGAAUAAUCUUCUAAGGUUGGCAACAUGAUCUUUUUUUUCUUUAGACUUUGCGAUCAUGUCAUCCAUGUAUACUUUUAUUUCUUUAUGCAUCAUGUCGUGAAAGAGAGUUACCAUAGCUCUUUGGUAAGUGGCCCUUAUAUUUUUCAACCCGAAAGGAAUUACUUUGUAACAAAAAUUUCCUCACAUAGUGAUGGAUGUAGUUUUCUCCAUGUCAUCUUUAGCCAUCCUAAUUUGAUUAUACCUUGAGAAUCCAUCCAUAAAAGAAAAUAUAGAGUGUUUGGCUGUAUUGUCUACUAGGGUAUCAAUGUGAGGUAAGAAAAAGUUAUCCUUUAGGCUUACCUUAUUCAAAUCUUGAUAAUCGACACACAUCUAGACUUUUUCAUCUUUCUUCGGUACUGGGACUAUGUUCGCUACUCAAUCUGGAUACUUAGUCACCUCUAAGAAACCUGCAUCAAACUAUUUUUUCACUUCUUCUUUGAUCUUUAAUAAUAUUUCAGGCUUCAUUCAUCUCAAUUUCUAUUACACUGAUUUACACUCUGGCUUUAAAGGAAGCUUAUGCUCCACUAUUUCAGUACUAAGUCCAAACAUGUCUUGGUAGAACCAUGCAAAGACAUUCAUAUAUUCACAAAGUAAUUCUUUUAAUCUUUGCUUAUCAUUCAGGGGUGACAUGCCUAUUUUAACUUCUUUUUUAUUAAUAUCAUCUCUCAGAUUUAUUAAUUCAGUACUUUUCUAGUGAGGUUCAAUUGGUUUCUUCUCUUGUUCUACCAAUUUCACUAAGCCAAGAAGUAAAGUAUCACCAUCCUAGUUCUCUUCAUGAUCAAGUUCAUCAAUAUAUAUUGAAUUUUCAAAAUCAAACCCUAGGUUACUAUCAUGAUUAUCUUUAUAUUUAUUAUCUGGGUACCUAAGAGUAAGUAAAAAAAGAGAAAUAUUGACAAGAUGUAUGGAAUGAAAAUUAAAAAAUAGACAGAAAAAUACAAAUGCAUCACAUCGAUCUUUUUAUUGAAAUGAAUGAAUGAACCAUACACAAGAAAAUAAUCUUAGUACUUUUAGGUAGAAGUAUAGGAAUUUUAUUCACUACAUUACUUUUUGAAAGACUCAAGGAUAAUAAGUAGCUCAAUGAUCUCCCAAUUAUUCAGCUUUGAACCUUGUGGGGUUGGAUACACCAGCGACUCUUUAUCUUGACUUUUAAUCGCCUCCCCUUCCACAAUUUGAAUGGUAAGUUCAGAAAAGGGUUCUUUCAACCCCAUAUCCCGAUUAUUAUCUCUAGGAUAGAUACAUCUUCCUGAUCGAAAGAUGUAAUAAAAAUAGGAAAUAAUCAUUUUUUUUACUCUAGCUCUUGUUCUUUAAGCUUAUCCAUCCUUUUCUCUUUCUUACUUUCACUCAACUUUUCCUUAUCCUCUUUUGUAGGCUUAUACCCUAAGCCAAACCUCUCUUGAUUGUUGAUCACCGCUAGUAGCUUCUGAAUUACUUACUUACUUCUUUCUUAAUCCUCUUUCGAGACACCACCUUUUUCCAAUAUCUAUUUAACAACCAUAUUGGUAGUGGCCGACAAUUGUGGUGUAUACAGCCUAGAUCCUUCACUAACAUAAGUUACAUUAACCACUCAAAAGAUCUAUAAGAAUACUCUACAGCCUCAUCUGUAGUUUUUACAUAUGGGGUUUUUGUUGGUUGGGUCACUAGCAGAUCUUUUUCUCUUAAUACACUCACUAGCUUCCCCUCGACAAUAAACUUUAUCUUCUGAUACAACAAGGAUGGGAUAGAGCCCGUCAUGUGGAUCCAUGGCCUUCCUAAUAAAUAGCUAUAUGAUGGUGAAAUAUCCAUCACUUGAAACUUCAUGUUAAAAUUACAUAGCCUGAUCUAUAGUUAUAGUUCAAUUUCACCUACCACCUCCCGUCUAGCUUCAUUGAAAGCUCUGAUGACUAUGUGGCUAGUUUUCAUGUGAGACAUCUCAAUAAACAACUUAGCCAGGGUGAACAUAGGCAUCACAUUAAUUACAGAGAUGUUGUCAAUAAGAACCUUUGUCAUUGUAUGACUUUUACAUCUAAUCAUAAUAUGCAGAACUUUAGUACUCCCUUUUCCUUUUAGGAGAAUCUCAUCGUCAUUAAAGGAAAUGUAAUUUGAGGCCACCAGAUUUUUCACAAGGUUAUCUAUGUACUCUACAGAUACAUUAUGGGAUACAUGUGCUUGAUUUAAAACCUUUAAUAAGGCAUUACGAUGAGGCUCUAAAUUCAACAAUAAUGAUAGAAGUGAGAUCCUAACUGGCAUUUUGUUUAGCUGUUCCAUCACACUGUACUCAUUAUGUUUGAUUAGUUUCAGAAACUCACAAGCUUUCUUUUCAAAAAUGGGUUUCUAGUACUCCUAUCUUGGCACUGCCAUAGAUCUUUUCUAUUCCCUUCUUCUUUUCUAAUUUUUUUUCUCUUUCUCAUUUUUUCUACCAUUUUUGAAAAGUAACAUCUUUCACUCCUAGUCAUGCUACCCACUCUAGUUAUAUUUGUCAUAUCAUAAUUGCUUGAUAUAUCUCUUUCAUUUGACCCCGUCGUUACAACCUCACAAUUGUAUUUUCAUGGUACUAUCUUAUUAUUUUGGUAUGGGAAAAGACUAGAGAUUUUGAAAGUUAUAACUGAUUUAGAAGUGGGUUGACUCUCUAUUAGCUUUGGCCUCUUGUAAUAUACUGUCACUAGUUUCGGGGUAGGCUUUGAAACCUGCUCGGUGGUGGAUACCUCUACAUUUCUUGAGCUUCUUUCAUCUUUGUAAAACUUAAUUUGGAAUGAAUCCAUCAAUUGUUGUAGAAUUUGAUGAAACUAAUCAUAGUUUUUAAUCGAAUGCCUUAUAGCUCCCUUAUGGUAUUUACACUUUAAGGAUGGGUUGUACUCUCCACGGUAAGUAUAUUGGUCCACUGGAUACAGUAUCUUUACUCUCAACAAGGCAUUAAACACCUUAUCUAGAGGGGUCUUAAUCUUAUCUACCCUUCUUUUGAUCUUGCUGGUUUGAUCCUUAUGUAUGACAUUAAUUGUUGCCCCAGUAUGGGUUGACAGAGGGUUACCAUUGACAUUAGGUGCCCCUUCUUUUUCAAAGCUUAUCAAACUCUUUUUUAUCAAGUUUUACACCUUGUGCUUUAAAGAGAUGCAGUUUUCUAUAGAAUGGCUUAUAACCCCAUAGUGAUAAUCACAAUGAGCAUUUGGGUCAUACCAUUUAGGGAAAGGUGAUUGCAUAGAAUCUACAAAGACAUGAGCUACUAAAUUUUUCUCCACGAGCUGUGAGAGUAAGUCUGUAUAAGGUAUAGAGAUUGGGUCAAAUGUGACAUUCUCUUGGUUGUUUCAUGACACUCUUAAAUUACUUGGCUGGGUAUUCUAUUUAGGGGUAAAUCUUGCUUGAGGUAUGGUGGAUGAAUUAUAUAUGUGUACGGGUGGUUGUGAUUGAAGGGUUGGUCGAUAAACUUGCUGGUAUGAUGGUUGAUAUGGGUAGUGGGUAGCGGUAAUUGGGCUAGAUACAUAGGGUGGUUAUAAAAAUGAACAUAACCUCUAAAUUGUUGGCCCUCACAACUCACAACAUGAGUUUUUCUUUUUUUUUCUUAAAUGGGCCAUUCUUCUUUGCAUCGAUUGUCUUUCUUCCAUCUAACUUACCGUUCUUAAUAACAUUUUCAAUCAUCUCACCUAAUAUAACCAUAUCAAUAAAAUUUUUCGUAGCAUUUCCUAUUAAUCUUUCAUAAUAGGGAGACUUAAGAGAACUGACAAAAAGCACUGUUACCCUUUUUUCUGUGAGAGGUGGUAGGACUUAAGAAGUAACAUCUCUUCAUCAUUAAACAUAUUACUUGAAACUUUCUGUGAUUUUUUUCUUCAUACUUUGUAAAGAGAGUCGGUCAGGUAAUAAGUCCAUAAUGUGUCUAUAUUAGGUUACAAAUGCUUUUGCCAAGUCAUUUCAGGAUUGGAUACGGGCUCAAUCCAAUUAAAUGUACCACCUUAUCGCAGAGCCUAUAAGGCUAUCUUGAAAGACAUGCAUCAAUAAUUUCUCAUCAUGAACAUGGGUGACAAUUUUUCGAUAAUACAUGGUAACGUGGGUUAACGGGCAUUUAGUCCCAUCGAACUUUUCAAAUUCAAAGAUUUUAAACUUUGAUUGGAUGAUCACAUCUAGAACUAAACAUAAUUAGGCUGCAUCCAUAAUGCCAAAAUAAUCCAUACCCUCAAUGGCUCGAACUCUAUCCUUUAAAAUAUUCAUUUUCAAUUAAGAGCUUGACUCUUCAAUUACCUUAGAGGUUUUUACUUUCAAUCUAUUUUUCUUUUUAAGGUCAUCAAAAUCAGAGACUUCAACUGGGUCUGUUGUCUUUACCCUAAAAGUGGGGUUAGUGUAACUACGAUAUGGUACUUCAGGAUAGGUGUAAGCAUAUGCCCUAGAAAAUGGCAUGUAUGGGACCUGUGUCUCUUGAGAAGAUUGACCUUGGUUUGGAUCAAACUUGGAAGGGUAUAAUGGAUCCACAAUAUCUUACCUUUCAUUCGGAUUAGGGGUUUCUUCUACUAUCUUACCGUUGUCCAGUUUUUUAAACAUUUCAUCAACUUCGUCAACUUCCUAUUUAUCUCCUCUUAAGCUUUCUCGAACUUAUCCAUACAGGUAUUUUGUUUCUGUUCCAUUUGUCUGGCUUGCAAUAGAGUAUUAUAUGGGUGACGUAUAGGUUGGCUCAAAUUUAUCAACUGUCGAGCUAUCCUUGAACAUUUAAUACCAUAUCUCAGAAUUAGCAAGUUUAUAUGACUAUCUCAUGACAACCUAAGAUGAUUAUUUUGUUAAAUGAAAUGAAUGAGAAUGCAAUGAAUGAAAAUGCAUGCAUGCAAAAAACAUUUACCUUAAGAUAGUGUUUAACCAAAAGAUUUUAUUUAUUCCAAAAAAACUUUAUUUACAUAGAAUUUAUCAUUCUAGAGUUAUAACCAUAGAAUCAUUUGAUCUGCUCAACUAGUCUUUUGCUUCCUUAAUGAAAUUCAAUAGGCAUUGUCCAUGUUUCCCUACUGGGGCCACCACUUGCUUCAACGCUUCUACCUCUUCGACCAUUUCUCUUAUCUUACCUACCUCUUUACAAAUUUUGAGUUGUCAAAUGCUCGAUAUACCUCCGUCUUCCUAGGUUUUUCCUUUUACCACACCACACUUGGUAUGAUAAUUUUCUAUGCUCUCUAACCAAUGCAGUGAUAUAGUCUUUUUGUUCAUUUAACCUUUGUUUUAACCUGCUUAGGUAGUUAUUUAACAUGUCAUUUUUUGUCUGUACUUAGGUACUUUCUUCUUCUAAUUUAGCAUAUUCCUGUUUCAAUGGCUCAUUCUCAUCAGUCAGCUCAAGGAUUGUUAUCUCCUUGGCUUUAACCCUUACACAUAACCUUUUAUGUUCUUGGUGUAGCUCCGGUAGAUUUUUAACAGCUGUAUCAUGUUCUUUAGCAAUCUUAUAAACUUUGACUUCAUGUUUUUUAGCUCUAUCUUUUCAUUGAUCUUUCUUCUCUUGAAGCUUUUUGAUUUCUUACUUUAGCUUAUCUUUUUUUAUCUCGAAUUAUUUUUUCGUAAGCUCCAAUUCUGAUGGUAUUUCUUCAAGCUUUUCUCUUAUUGGUUGUUGAAAACCUUCAUGAGUGAGUGCCAUUUCUUGUACUCGUCUUGUUCUCCAAGCUAAGUACCCAUGAGUAACCUUAUCAAUGAACGAUCUAGGACUCACUCUAUGGGAGUUUUUCAUGCUUUAAUCACAUCAUUCAUCCUCUGAAAUGCUUUUGGCUUACUGUAAAAAAAAUUUGAUUGAUGAAGCUUAUGUGUCAUGAGAAUGAACUGUUCGACCUCAAACUAUCUUCUCACUAGAAGUGACGCAUAACUUGUUGUUCCCCAUAGACCCAGAAGUGGGACCACAGUGUUAUCUUCACACUGAUAUAGCAUGGGUUCACGAUUCAUCCACGAGACUAACCAUCUCAUCUCGGUGUUUGUCAGCUUUUGUAAAAAAGCUAUCCAUUCUCUUUUAGACUUUUACUCUGGCCACUCACUUUCACAGAAUUUCUUGAUUGAAACUCGAUUACGAAAAUAAAGCUUUGAGAAUGCACUUUUUUUACACUCAAAAUGGCUUUUCAUCCAUAAAUACAAUAGUUAUAUACAGCCCGUGAAACGUCUUCCAUUCUGACGACAGUAACUCAAAGAUCUAAUAGUCUCUGCCAAUGUCACUGUUGAAGGGUUACAGCCAUUGAUCACGCUUUUGAAGAAGUCAACCACUACUAUUUCAAUAUACCCCAAAACCUUUGAAAAGAUCACCAUUCCAUAUAUGGCCAAGGCAAACACGUCUAACCCCCGCUCUUCGUUGGCAUGUUAUACUAAGAAAUUGUAAAAAAACUUUCAAGAUAAAUAAACCUGUUCUUAUUUCUUCUUUGUAUGAAAAUCACAAUCUCCUUGUUUAUCCCCAUCAUAUAGGCCAAAUUCUUAAGGAAUCCUGAUUUGUGUUUCUUAACAUAUAUCUUGUCAUGGGCCUUGAGGUGUAGACCCAACAGAGUUGAAUAUUCUUUGAUAGUUGAUGCCAUAUCAACUUCAUUAAAAAUGAAACACUUUUAUGAAGGAUACCAAAAUUGUACUGUAGCUCUAAUUACUUUAUUCUUGACAUUUAUUGCAAGAUGGUGUGUUAUAUGCCCAUGUCUCUGGCAAAACUCAUCUUGUUUUGAUGGACUCAUCUGCUUCCAUAUAUCAACUAAAUCCUCUAGAUUGUUUUGUUUGAAAAGGAUAGAUAUUUCUUGAGACAAAAUGGAAGCAUAGCCAAUUGGUAGACAAUCCGCUUCCUUUUGUUGGAUCUUUUUUGAAUGAACCUUUACUUCGUUUGGUGACUCACACGGAGCUAAUACGGAUGAAGAGCAAACUAGUCGUUCUAUGGAGUCCAUGAAAAACUCUUUGUUGAAGACUGUCUUUUUAGGUAAAUAUUCUUUAUGCCACUUCAUGAUAUGAGUAUGAAUCAUACAAAGAUGAAAAAGAAAGACAGUUAGUACACUAGAUAAGAAAAAACAUAUAAAUAACUAAAGUAGAACAUCACACAAUAAAAGAAUGAAUCCUAAGCUUUUGGUCAAUUCUAAAGGGAAAGAGAGGGCUUUAUCUAUAGGUUAGUCAUUCCUAAGGUUCAUUAUAUGUAGUUUAAAGAUUGAAAAUCUAAAGAUUUUCAAAUUGUAUUUUACAUCAUCGUUCGUCACAGACUAGUAAGGCAUCCCAAUCCUCACCCAUUACAGGCUGCAAGCGAAAAAGGUUUAAUUUGAGUGAGAGAAUUUUGCUAGCCACUGCGGAGGCAUUAAAAUCUCUCGAAAGCAUAGGUACUUUACUACCUCCUAAAGGGAUGAAACUCGGGUAUAGAACUCAUGUUAUGCAUAUGCAUAUGAAUGACAAAGUGAACAAAGUAAAUAAAUAGAAUGAAUGAAUAAAAAUUUAUACAAAAAGUUUAAUUUUAUUAAGCUUUUGGAUAACACAAAUUUAUUUGCUGGCCUGACUCUCGACUUUCCCCAGUGGAGUCGCCAAACUAUCAUAACAUCUAGAUCCGGAGACUUAUCGCUAAAUAUUGACUUAAGGAGUCACCACAAAUAUUUUUUGUUUAGGUACAAUUGGUCACUUAACUAAAUCUGUCCCUUUUUAGAGAGAAAUCAUAAGUUUGACUUAGGUAUCUUUGCAAGGUAGAUUCCAUAUCCGCGAAACCAGAACUAGAUUUGAGAGUGGGGUUACGUGUGAGGAAGGUUAUAGCACCCCCACAACAUCUAUCAAAAGAUGGUACCAGCUUGAUUUCAUGUUAUCCAUUAGCCUUAAAAACUUUACUAAGUAAUUAAUUAUUAAAAAUUAUUCUUAAUUGACUCCAAUACUUUUGAUAAAAAAAUUAAGAAAAUUCCCUCAUUUCAAAAGUAUGCAAGAAAACUAUUAUUUCUCUCACAGAGGCUCUGUCGUCGAAUUAUUUAUUAUUAAAAAUUUUCAAAAAAAAGAAGAAAAAGAAUAAUGAUUCGACUCUUGAUAUAGAUCUUUUGUAGUUUUAUAAGAAAAAAAACUCAUGUUUUUAUACAAAAAUUUUGAUACUUUCAACUUUUCUUUAAAGUAUUUUAAGGUUUUUUAUUUUCAAAAAAAUUGAUACUUUUAACUUUUCCUCAAAAGAUGUUUUCUUGAAAAUUUUAUUUUCAAAGAAAAUUGGUAUUUUCAACUUUUCCUCAAAAAUGCUUUUUGAAAAAUUUUAUUUUCAAGGAAAAUUUAUACUUUCAACUUUUCCUUAACUUUUUCUCAAAAAAUAUUUUCUUGAAAAUUUUAUUUUUAAGGAAAAUUGAUACUUCAAACUUUUUUCUCAAAAAUGUUUUUUGAAAAAAUUUAUUUUCAAGAAAAAUUGAUACUUUUAACUUUUUCUCAAAAAAUAUUUUCUUGAAAAUUUUAUUUUCAAGAAAAAUUAAUACUUUCAACUUUUCCCAAAAAAAAUAUUUUCUUGAAAAUUUUAUUUUUAAGGAAAAUUGAUACUUCAAACUUUUUUCUCAAAAAUGUUUUUUGAAAAAAUUUAUUUUCAAGAAAAAUUGAUACUUUUAACUUUUUCUCAAAAAAUAUUUUCUUGAAAAUUUUAUUUUCAAGAAAAAUUAAUACUUUCAACUUUUCCCAAAAAAAAUAUUUUCUUGAAAAUUUUAUUUUUAAAAAAAAUUGAUACUUCCAACUUUUUUCUCAAAAAUAUUUUUUUGAAAAUUUUAUUUUCAAGAAAAAUUGAUACUUUCAAUUUUUCUAAAAAAAAAAAAAACGUUUUCUUGAAAAUUUUAUUUUUAGGAAAAAUUGGUACUUUCAACUUUUUCCUUAAAAAUGUUUUUUUAGAAAAUUUUAUUUUCAAGAAAAAUUGAUAUUUUCAAUUUUUCCUCAAAAAUAUUUGAUUUUAAAAUUUUUAUUUUUAAAAAGAAUUGGUACUUCCAACUUUUUCUCAAAAAUAUUUGAUUUUAAGUAAUUAUUGAAAAUUAAAGAAUGUUUAAUAAAAUAAAUUAUUUCAAUUUAAUAAAAAAAACACAUAAGCAAAAAAAAUAGUAAAUAAAUAAAUAAUGAUAAUAAAUAAAUAAAAACCUUAGCUCGGCUUUGGCUAGGCUUGGAUAGUAUGCGGCUCCAAAGACAAACUCGGUUGGAGUGGCUCAGUGCGCAACUUGGCUCACUCCACUCAACAGGAGCUAGGUGAUACGGGUAGGCGGGUCGAGGCGUUACAGGUCGGGUUGGACCAUAAGGAAACGCAUGGAUCCUAUCGGGUUCUUAGCUCAAAAUGACUUCAUUUUUGGACUAUAUAAAAGGCAAAAAAAAGUCUUCUGGUCCUCAGACACUCAUUCCCCUUUCUCUUUUUUCUCUUCUAUUUCUUGCUUUAGGUGAUUUUCAAUUAUCGUCUUUCGCUGAAUGCCGUCGAAAAAAUCAUUGAUUUUUUAGUUUUAUCAUCAGAAAUUGAAUUUUUCACUGAAACUUACCGAAAAACUUGAAUAUUUGCCAAAAAAUUCACCAGAUUCUAAAAAUUUUCAAAAAAUUUUCAAAAACUCAAAAAAAGCUAAAAAAAAAAUUAAAAACCACAAAUUCUCCAAAAAAUCUUUUGAAACAAAAAAUUUCCUCGAAUCAUUUCUAUUUUCUCCCUCUUUUCUUUUUUGUGUUCUUACUCUUGUGAUUGAUGAGGUUUAUAUAAGAUUGGGUAAAUGGUUUAAUGGGAUUUCAAAAUCAAACUUUUCCUUUCAUCCAAUCUGUUUAUUCUCGUUCAAAAAUCAAAUCUUUGAUCUUAUUUUUAAAAAUUAAACUCUUAAUCCUAAAAUUUUACUAAAACUGAAAUUUUAUUUUUAUUUAUUUAUUAUUUUAAAUAUAUUAAACUUAUAUGAAAAGUGGGUGUCUACAGUAUCAAUCCUUCUCAUUUCGCUUACACAAUUUUAAAAGCAGCCAAAUGAUGACUAAGUCUAUAAGACGACAAUAUCUCCUACGCAAGAAGUCUCCAGGAUGGCAAUAUCUCUUACGCAAGUAAACCGGACCCACAUUUAAGAAAAGGAAAAAUCAAACAAAAAGGCUGCUGAUGUGAGUGACAAAUUAAAAUAAGCAAAGAACGCACAUGAUUGUGAUGCAUGUUAAAGAAGUCUAACUUGGAAAAUUCCACCCAUUGAAAGAUUGGUCCAAAUUUUUUAGCAAUGCUCAUAUUACGCCGCCCCUCUAUCAAAGCAAAUACAUUUUAUUUCUCUACACCACAAAAUAAUAAAAAAAAAAUCAAAUCAGAUAAGAUCAAACAAACACAGAGCUACCAGAAGCAAAUCAAACAAUGGAAGAAGCAACAAUUCUUUACUCAUUUCUUUCUUUUAUCUUUCUCAUCAUUUGUUUAAACUUGUUCUUUCAUCAAGAAAACACCCCAAAAACCUCCCUCCAAGCCCACCAUCACUACCCAUAAUUGGCCACCUUCACUUCCUGAAACCCCCCAUCCAUCGUUUGUACCAGUCUUUCACAAAAAUAUGGUCCAAUCUUCUCCCUCCGCCUCGGUUCUCAGCUUCUUGUUGUAGUAUCAUCCUCAACCGCAGCCGAGGAAUGCUUCAUCAAGAACGAUAUAGUUUUUGCCAAUCGCCCCAAGUUUAUCAUAGGGAAACACUUAGGCUACAACAAUACCACAGUUACAACAUCGUUUUAUGGUGAUCAUUGGCGCAACUUACGUCGAAUUGGUGCCAUUGAAAUCUUCUCAUCAACUCGUCUAAACGCCCCGUAACUGUUCGAAAAGACGAAAUCAGGCGCUUGUUACUAAAAUUGUCGUGUGAUUCGCGUCAAGAGUUUGCGAAAGUGGAGCUGAAAUCUAUGUUUAAUGACAUAACCCUUAAUAACAUAAUGAGGAUGUUGGCAGGGAUGUGGUACUAUGGAGAUGAAGUGACGAAUGAAGAAGAAGCAAGAGAAUUUAGGGAACUUAUGGCAGAGGCAUUCAAGAAUAGUUGAACAGCAAAUCCAGCAGAUUACUUUCCUAUAUUGAACUGGUUUGGUGAAGGGUUUGAAAAGAAGGUGAAGAAGGUUGGAAAAAGGAUGGACAGGUUCUUGCAAACUUCGAUUGAGAAUCACCGAAGCAAGAGGCAGGACAAUAAUAGUAUGAUUGAUCACCUUCUUUCCUUGCAAGAAUCUGAGCCUCAUUACUAUACUGACGAAAUUAUAAAAGGGUUCAUAUUGGUAAUUAGUUGAAUCUUUGUCUUUUUUUCUUUUUACUUUUCAAUAUUUUAUUAUUGAAAGAUAUUCGGUUUUGAAUUCGGAGCUUAGCUUAAUUGGUUCAUGUUCUUAAUUUUAGAAGAUGACAUUCAAAUCUGAAAUGUCCUAAACUAACAAAUUAACGUUGUUGUGUAGGUGAUAAUACUUGCAGGAACUGAUACAUCAGCAGUCACAAUAGAGUGGGCAAUGUCCAAUUUGCUAAAUCACCCAGAAGUACUGAAGAAGGCUAGAGCUGAACUAGACGAUCAAAUUGGUCAAGAAAACCUGAUUGAUGAACAAGAUGUUUCCAAGCUACAUUACCUUCAAAGUAUUAUAUUGGAGACACUUCGAUUAUACCCUGCAGCUCCUCUUCUGCUUCCACACAUGCCAUCUAGCGAUUGUACCUUAGGUGGAUACAACGUGCCACGUGGUGCGAUCGUAUU